CUGAUGGUAUCUUGCAUAUGCGAUCGCAUGUAUAAUGGGCGCGAGCGUGGGCAAGGUACCAGCAG
rnacentral:pre_miRNA from 1 species